GACGAACGCUGGCGGCGUGCUUAACACAUGCAAGUCGAGCGGUAAGGCCCUUUCGGGGGUACACGAGCGGCGAACGGGUGAGUAACACGUGGGUGACCUGCCCUCAGCUCUGGGAUAAGCCUGGGAAACCGGGUCUAAUACCGGAUAUGACUCCAUGACGCAUGUUGUGGGGUGGAAAGCCUUGUGCGGCUGAGGACGGGCCCGCGGCCUAUCAGCUUGUUGGUGGGGUGAUGGCCUACCAAGGCGACGACGGGUAGCCGGCCUGAGAGGGCGACCGGCCACACUGGGACUGAGACACGGCCCAGACUCCUACGGGAGGCAGCAGUGGGGAAUCUUGCGCAAUGGGCGAAAGCCUGACGCAGCGACGCCGCGUGAGGGAUGACGGCCU
rnacentral:rRNA from 1 species